UACGUAGGGGGCAAGCGUUGUCCGGAUUUAUUGGGCGUAAAGAGCGUGUAGGCGGCCAAACAGGUCCACUGUGAAAACUCGAGGCUCAACUGGGCGGGGUCCAUGGAAACUGGUCAGCUGGAGGACGGUAGAGGUGAGUGGAAUUCCCGGUGUAGUGGUGAAAUGCGUAGAGAUCGGGAGGAACACCCGUGGCGAAGGCGGCUCACUGGGCCGGUCCUGACGCGUGAGACGCGAAAGCGUGGGGAGCGAACAGG
rnacentral:rRNA from 1 species